GACGAACGCUUGCGACGUGCCUAAGAAAUGCAAGUCGAACGGGGGAGCAAUCCCCAGUGGCGAACGGUCGCGUAACACGUGGGCAACCUGCCCUGAAGUGUGGGACAACAGAUCGAAAGGUCUGCUAAUACCUCAUGUGGAGGGAGAGGGCAUCCUCUCUUGUCCAAAGGAUUUAUUCGCUUCAGGAUGGGCCCGCGGCCUAUCAGCUUGUUGGUGGGGUAACGGCCUACCAAGGCUUCGACGGGUAGCUGGUCUGAGAGGACGAUCAGCCGGAUUG
rnacentral:rRNA from 1 species